UCUCAGCACCUGUACAUCAUGCCCACUAACAUUCACAGAGGAGGAGGUGCCAUUGAUUCGCCAGUGGUGGUGCAUUCAGUUGAUGGAGAGGUUUUGCCUUGAAGGGCAUGGACAGAGAUUUGCACACUGGACAGAAGCAGCAUCCCAACUCCUUCAGGGAACCCUUGAGCCGGUCUUUAGGGUGUCAAAAUCCACCACCACCAAACAGUCACCCAGCAGAAGAGUUGUGGCUGAAGAGGACACUGAUAAGGUGCAACAGCCUACCAUUGUGAGAGACCUUCAUACAGCUUGGUACUAGGG